ensembl:lincRNA
CGAGGCGGCGGGAGGCCAGGUCCGCGGGCGCCGUCCCUGGUUCCAGCCUCCCCUGCUCCCGGCUCAGGGCAGAGCCGGCGCCCGCGGCUCGGUGCUGGGGCUUGCUCUAAGCUCGGGCUCUCCUGGGCCGCGGUCCAAGCCCGGGUGGACGGAACACGGCCCGGCAGUGCUCAGGGUUCAAGGGUGGUUCUCUUCCCAUCUGAUCACGUAGCUCCGCCGUGGGGCCGCCCUUAGAUCUGGUGCCCUGCCUGGCCCUGCCCUGUGACCCUGUCCUUCCUCCGGGUGCUCAGCAAGCUUUCCAGAUGGAGCCCUACCGCCUGCCCACCUGUCAGCUUCCUGAAAGAGGAUGGUGGUCUUUUUUGAGCAGACCCCCAGCAGAAGAGAUGCUGCAGAGCUUCCUGGUGCUGCUGUGGAAGAGUGGGGCACCUGCCUGGUAUCCUUGGAGCUUGUGGCACUUGUGGAAAGGCUGUGCCAGGAACUUCAGGAUGACCUUGCCUAGAUGGAGUCCUUGUUGGAGGCCUUGCUGGAGAGCUGGCUCUGCCUACAUCCGCUGGUUUGUGAGGACAUGGUGCAGAUAUGCACAUUCAUGCUGGCCCAGCAGGGGCAGUACCAGGCCACCUGCUGGUUCUUGGAGGUGGGCCUGGGGCAGUGUGGGAGACAGAGGGAGUCUGCAGCCACCCUGA